AUUGAACGCUGGCGGCAUGCCUUACACAUGCAAGUCGAACGGCAGCGGGGGAGAAGCUUGCUUUUCCUGCCGGCGAGUGGCGAACGGGUGAGUAAUACAUCGGAACGUGCCCUGUAGUGGGGGAUAACUAGUCGAAAGAUUAGCUAAUACCGCAUACGAACUGAGGGUGAAAGUGGGGGACCGCAAGGCCUCAUGCUAUAGGAGCGGCCGAUGUCUGAUUAGCUAGUUGGUGGGGUAAAGGCCUACCAAGGCGACGAUCAGUAGCUGGUCUGGGAGGCGGAUCAUCCGCACUUGUACUGGAAGACGGCCCAGCCUCCAAGGGGAGGCAGCAGUGGGGAAUUCUGGACAAUGGGCGAAAGCCUGAUCCAGCAAUGCCGGGUGUGUGAAGAAGGCCUUCGGGUUGUAAAGCACUGUUGUCCGGAAAGAAAUGGCUCUGGUUGAUACCCGGUCGUUCUGACGGUACCCAAGGAAUAAGCACCGGCUAACUUCGUGCCAGCCGCCGCCGUAAAAC
rnacentral:rRNA from 1 species